GGAUAUAGCUCAGUUGGUAGAGUGCUUGCCUUGCAUGAACAAGGCCCUGGGUUCUAUCCCCAGCACCA
rnacentral:tRNA from 1 species